rnacentral:rRNA from 1 species
GAUGAACGCUGGCGGCGUGCUUAACACAUGCAAGUCGAGCGAAGCACUUUGGAAAGAUUCUUCGGAUGAUUUCCUUUGUGACUGAGCGGCGGACGGGUGAGUAACGCGUGGGUAACCUGCCUCAUACGGGGGGAUAACAGUUAAAAAUGACUGCUAAUACCGCAUAACACCACGGUACCGCAUGGUACAGUGGUAAAAACUCCGGUGGUAUGAGAUGGACCCGCGUCUGAUUAGGUAGUGGGGGGGGUAACGGCCUACCAAGCCAACAAUCAGUAGCCGACCUGAGAGGGUGACCGGCCACUUUGGGACUGAGACACGGCCCAGACUCCUACGGGAGGCAGCAGUGGGGAAUAUCGCACAAUGGAGGAAACUCUGAUGCAGCGACGCCGCGUGAAGGAUGAAGUAUUUCGGUAUGUAAACUUCUAUCAGCAGGGAAGAAAAUGACGGUACCCAACAAGGAAGUGACGGCUAACUACGUGCCAGCAGCCGCGGUAAAACGUAGGUCACAAGCGUUGUCCGGAAUUACUGGGUGUAAAGGGAGCGCAGGCGGGAAGACAAGUUGGAAGUGAAAUCUAUGGGCUCAACCCAUAAACUGCUUUCAAAACUGUUUUUCUUGAGUAGUGCAGAGGUAGGCGGAAUUCCCGGUGUAGCGGUGGAAUGCGUAGAUAUCGGGAGGAACACCAGUGGCGCCGGCGGCCUACUGGGCACCAACUGACGCUGAGGCUCGAAAGUGUGGGUAGCAAACAGGAUUAGAUACCCUGGUAGUCCACACCGUAAACGAUGAUUACUAGGUGUUGGAGGAUUGACCCCUUCAGUGCCGCAGUCAACACAAUAAGUAAUCCACGUGGGGAGUACGACCGCAAGGUUGAAACUCAAAGGAAUUGACGGGGGCCCGCACAAGCAGCGGAGUAUGUGGUUUAAUUCGACGCAACGCGAAGAACCUUACCAAGUCUUGACAUCCCUUGACAGGCAUAGAAAUAUGUAAUCUCUUCGGAGCAAGGAGACAGGUGGUGCAUGGUUGUCGUCAGCUCGUGUCGUGAGAUGUUGGGUUAAGUCCCGCAACGAGCGCAACCCUUAUGGUCAGUUAGUACGCAAGAGGACUCUGGCCAGACUGCCGUUGACAAAACGGAGGAAGGUGGGGAUGACGUCAAAUCAUCAUGCCCCUUAUGACUUGGGGUACACACGUACUACAAUGGCGUUAAACAAAGAGAAGCAAGACCGCGAGGUGGAGCAAAACUCAGAAACAACGUCCCAGUUCGGACUGCAGGCUGCAACUCGCCUGCACGAAGUCGGAAUUGCUAGUAAUCGUGGAUCAGCAUGCCACGGUGAAUACGUUCCCGGGCCUUGCACA